UAUUAUGGCCAUGAUACCGUGAGCAUACCUGAUCUCCACUGAUUACGGAAGCUAAGCAAGGUUGUGCCUGGUUAGUACAUCGUUGGGAGUUCACCUGGUAAUAGCUCAAAAGGCCUGUGAGAC
rnacentral:rRNA from 1 species